GUUCGAAACCGGGUUUUCCCGGUCUGUCAGGGAUGACCUCCUGACACUGAUGAGAUAGGUCAAA
rnacentral:hammerhead_ribozyme from 1 species